rnacentral:rRNA from 1 species
GUGUCAGCCGCCGCGGUAAUACGGAGGAUGCAAGCGUUAUCCGGAAUGAUUGGGCGUAAAGCGUCCGCAGGUGGCUAUGUAAGUCUGCUGUUAAAGAGUGAGGCUCAACCUCAUAAGAGCAGUGGAAACUACAUGGCUAGAGUGCGUUCGGGGCAGAGGGAAUUCCUGGUGUAGCGGUGAAAUGCGUAGAGAUCAGGAAGAACACCGGUGGCGAAAGCGCUCUGCUAGGCCGCAACUGACACUGAGGGACGAAAGCUAGGGGAGCGAAUGGGAUUAGAUACCCGAGUAGUCC